UACGAAGGGGACUAGCGUUGUUCGGAAUCACUGGGCGUAAAGCGCACGUAGGCGGAUGUGUCAGUCAGGGGUGAAAUCCCGGGGCUCAACCUCGGAACUGCCUUUGAUACAGCACGUCUCGAGUCCGGAAGAGGUGGGUGGAAUUCCUAGUGUAGAGGUGAAAUUCGUAGAUAUUAGGAAGAACACCGGUGGCGAAGGCGGCCCACUGGUCCGGUGCUGACGCUGAGGUGCGAAAGCGUGGGGAGCAAACAGG
rnacentral:rRNA from 1 species